UUUCGAGGUAGGAGUCGACUCCUGUGAGGUAUGGUGCUGGGUGCAGAUGCAGUGUGGCUCUGGAUAGCACCUUAUGGACAGUUGUGUCCCCAAGGAAGGAUGAGAAUAGCUACUGAAGUCCUAAAGAGCAAGCCUAACUCAAGCCAUUGGCACACAGGUGAGACACCUCUAUUUUGUACUUCUCACUUUUAAGGGAUUAGAAAAUAGCCAAAGCAAUGAUGAUUAUCUAUGUUAGUGCUUCUCUCCCCUCUUUUCAAAUGAGAAUUUUGCUCUCAUAUUGAUACUAAGUUUAAUACUGAAGAAAAUGUGAAAACAGAUACUAUGAUGGUUGCAUAGUUCAGCAGAUUUAAUCAUGAAGAGAUGUACUAUCUGUCUGAUGUAUCUGGGGUAGUUGUGGUUUGCUGUUAAUGGUUAAGCAGUGUACCACCAAUCUACCAUUAAAAUAUUUUUUGCUGACAAUUUUGUAUUA
rnacentral:lncRNA from 1 species